rnacentral:rRNA from 1 species
AAUACUGGACAAUGGGGGCAACCCUGAUCCCGCCAUGCCGCGUGUGUGAAGAAGGUCUUCUGAUUGUAAAGCAGUUUAAGUCGGGAGGAAGGGCUUUAGGUUACUAGCCUGAAGUUUGUACGUUACCAACAGAAUAAGCAUCGGCUACCUACUUGCCAGUAGCCGCGGUAAUACAGAGGGUGCAAGCGUUAAUCGGAAUUACUGGGCGUAAAGCGCGCGUAGGUGGUUCAGUAAGAUGGGUGUGAAAUCCCCGGGCUUAACCUGGGAACUGCUUUCAUAACUGCUGAGCUAGAGUACGGUAGAGGGUAGUGGAAUUUCCUGUGUAGCGGUGAAAUGCGUAGAUAUAGGAAGGAACACCAGUGGCGAAGGCGACUACCUGGACUGAUACUGACACUGAGGUGCGAAAGCGUGGGGAGCAAACAG